rnacentral:rRNA from 1 species
UAAAAAUGUAAUUUUGAAUUUUAAAUUAGUAUUAGUUAAUUUCUUGAAAUUUAAAGAUUUUGGCGGUAUUUUAGUCUAUUCAGAGGAACCUGUUCUAUAAUUGAUAAUCCACAAUUAGUUAUACUUAAUUUAAAUAGCUUGUAUAUCGUCGUUAUUAGAAUAUUUUAUUAGAAUUUAAUAUUCAAAAUUUUUUAUUAAAAAAUAAAUCAGAUCAAGGUGCAGUUUAUAAUUAAGAAGAAAUGGGUUACAAUAAAAUUAUUUAUAAAUAUUGAAUUUAAAAUUUAAUUGAAAUUGGAUUUGAAAGUAAUUAUUUAGUUAUUUAAAUUAUGAUUAUAGCUCUAAAAUAUGU